rnacentral:lncRNA from 1 species
UUGUUGUUGACGUUGUUGUUGUUGAAUUGAUGUUGCUUGCUUAUUCGAAAAUAUAGGAAUGACUGAAGGUACUUGAUGAUGGUGUCGACAGGAUGGUUGAUUCCUUUUGAUCUGAGGCCUUCUCUGCCUCCCACUAGAAAUUGCAUUAGCUUCGCUAUCUUUCUUCUUCCCAAAACUGCUGCCAUAUCUCUUACUUGACGAUCCUUACUCCUUUG